rnacentral:rRNA from 1 species
UACGGGGGGGGCAAGCGUUGUUCGGAAUUACUGGGCGUAAAGGGCUCGUAGGUGGCCAACUAAGUCAGACGUGAAAUCCCUCAGCUUAACUGGGGAACUGCGUCUGAUACUGGAUGGCUUGAGUUUGGGAGAGGGACGCGGAAUUCCAGGUGUAGCGGUGAAAUGCGUAGAUAUCAGGAGGAACACCGGUGGUGUAGACGGCUUUCUGGACCGUAACUGACGCUGAGACACGAAAGCGUGGGUAGCAAACAGG